AGCGCAUCGGCAGUUGUGGCGCCCAGCCGUGAGGCUUGAGAGCAUCAAGCACACGGAUGGAGGAAUACUGAGCCCUCAGAGACCGGUGGAUUUAACCUUGUGGACGUUACAAUACCUCCCUGCAAGCCAAGGCUCCGUUCUAGCAAGCCGAGCGUUUCCCAGAGGACGGACCGGCAGCUUCGGGUUGCACCACCAAAGACCGGUCCCCCUGCGGCGAAAACUUCACAGCUGGAUUUUUCGUUUCCCCUUUGGACUUCGCUGGACCCUCUGUAAGUUACGGGGGGCCCCUGGGGCUGGGCACACCUUGUCUCUUUUGGGGUGGGUUUCUCUUUCUCCCGCGGGGGCGAAAGAUCCCACAUUUUGCGGGUCUCCCUUUAGGCAGGGAGUUUGUAAUGACAGGUCUACCCAGCGUCUGAAAAGGGGUCUUUUCUGUUGUUAUUUUCCCAGUUAUGAGGUUUAGCGGCACAUUUAAGAUCGACAAUAUGGGUGCUAAAUUGUCAGUGUCGCAGAGAGAAUUUAUGUCCAAGUUGUUGGGAUCCUGGUUGGGGGAGAAAAAAAGAUUAAAAAGUCCGAUGUCAGACAUUUUGUCCGGUGGCUUCUGCAGUCCUUCCAGGAUCUGUCGACAACAAAUUUAUACCAAAUCCAGUUUUGGGACCAAGUUGGAAGGGAAAUUGUCUGAAAAGAGGACCCUUUCCUCUCAAUUUUCAUUCAUCUGGCACUCCAAAUUAGAAAUAUUGUCAAAGAUAACAGCGAAGGGAUGCCAGAGCCACUCGAAGGCAAAUGCAGCCCCAGUUUAAAAACCCCUAGCCCGCUUUCCUCUCCCUCUCUCCCCCGCCCGGGGAUUCUCAGACGGGCAUCCUGGCAGCAGCCGCCGGCAGAUUCUGGCCCCUUUGUUAACCCCCGGGUUCCCUCGCAGGGCAGUGCUGGCAUCGCUCUGCACUCUCCCCAUACCCCAAUUCCCUCUCUUUAUACAGCCCUGCCCCAUAGUGUUUUAAGACCCCCGACCCCUCUCCACAACCUUCCCCUAGGGGUGAUGUAACACCUGCCACACCCCCUAGCCCUAGUUCUGCCUCCUCCCUCAGUUCCCACGACCCCCCUUCUGGUUCCCACGCUUUGGUUUCCGGGGGUGGGGAGCGGGGGAACUGCGACCUGCCCCAAUCCCUGCCUGCCUUUUCUGCUGCACCGGUCACCUAUACACCGUGACAGAGGGGCAGACCCCUCACACAGUGGACUCCAAUCCCACAGUCGGUAAUCAGGGAUCUCUGCAAAGCCCAAAAGGAGUUUGUCUGGGAAAGUGAAUAUUUAGGGGGCUGUUAAGAGCUACGCUCUCCUCAAAUGAAUAUGUCCCUGCUGACAUGCGCACUCCCUUUUCGUGUUUGAUUACUCAAGCUGAGUUUUUGGUCUGGGAAUCCGCAUGGAGGCGGGAAGCACGAGAUUUAUUACCCAGCCUUUGGGCAAAUACAGAGACCUCCGUAGACACCGAUGGGGGUGUGUUGUCAAUUGAUCAUCCGUGCGGGGUGGGGGAUUGGGACACGGCAGCAAGGCAGACCGAAAAGAUUCCAAGGGGGGCACUGUCAGCAAGUGCCAAGGCGGCAGAAAAAGCAUUCUUUAAGUUAAGACCCAGUGGUCCUGUUGUUAACUGUUUCUCUCUUAAGCAGGAGCCUCAGGAAUCUUUCAUUAGUUUCGUAGAUAGGUUGUGCAGGGCAACAGAAGCCCAGAUUCCAGAAGAGGGAUUGAGGCAAGGCACAGUGAAGCAAAUUGCACUCCAGAACGCCAACGAAGCCUGCCAACAGGCGAUCCUGAGCCUUCCCCUCGACCCAGAGCCAACACUUCAAGACAUGCUGGACGUGUGCGCUCGAAAGGUCACCUUACCAUCAAAGGACCUCUAGGUGACUCCCCGAAUGCCAUCAAGGAGGGUCUCCUUCGCCAAAGCCCACACGCCAUCCACAACCCCAGCUCCUGCGUGCCGCUUCUCAGGGCCACCCCCCAAAGGUUACCACCCGGGAAAACCCUGUAACCUCUGCAAUAAGAAAGGACACUGGGCAUCCCAUUGCCGCCUGAAAGAGGACUUUUUACAUUUUAGAAACCAAAACAAACAGCAAGGGCAAGAUGCCCCCAACCCAGGGGAACAAUCAAAAAACUAGUUUCUCAGCGCAGUCCCUCCCUGCGUGAGGACACAAAUUUGGUGGGAAACAUAACAUCAGGGGAAAGGAGGGACAACACAUCAGCAUACCCACCUGAGGACAAAGACUCUAUUACCAGACAUGACAUUACCGGAUUGGACACUAGAGGAACUAAAGCUGGUGAACCAGCCUGCGUGGGGGGAGUUGGGAAUUUCAUUUCACAGGCAUGGCUUGGUCGGGACCCCGACCAUCCCAGGCCCAUCCUUAACACCCAGUCCAACUUCUCUCCAUACAGAUUGGCCCUGACCGAACCUCUGCUACUCAAGGAUAGCAAUUGGCAUUUUGUCACGGUUGACACACAGAACCCAGGGACCUGGAGGAGACUCCACAUUUUAGUGUUGUUAAAAAAUUUAAAGGCCAUCAACUCCACCAUGCAUAUCAACCGCGCCGUCUUCGCUGCCCCAUCAGAGCUGAUACCGCUCAACGCCGAACAUCCAGAAAAGAACCAAGAAGAACACCCAGAGGACAUCGGGUUCGACGAUGGGAAACAGGACUGCAAAUCCCUCAUUUAAGUUAUUUUCCGUUCUUUUCUUUUUAAACAAAAGAGAGGAAGAUGUAGAGUUGUGGUUUUUAUGUUUUAUUACAUUUGUAUUAUGUAUAAGUUUGUUCCAUGUACCCCCGGUCCUAUAACGAUUCCCCCCGGGUCUUCCCGUCUCUCCCCACGAGUCUGUUGUCCCCAAGAAAUGCCAAGUCACUGUGUUUACCCCCAAAUGCCUGUCUGUCACUCGGUAUCCCUUCCCCCCACCUGGAAUCUUCCACCCAGGAUGCCAGGCGAUAGGCAGACGACCUGGGACCCUCCACCUGUCCGUCCUUCAUUGGAUGUACCCCUGUACCCCACUACCCUCAAACCCCCCGUGGCGUUACCCCAUUGGCUGCCCAAGUUUCCUUCUGUCCUGUACUUAGUCCGCGCGCACAGCGCACUCAGGGCUUUCUCCUGGCUGGCACCAGCACGUGCCGCCGCCCCACCCAAGCUGCUCGGGGCUUUCCUCCCGGCCGGCUCCAGUGCGCCGCUCCGCCCCACCCACUAGCACGGCCCCAACAAACACCGUCGCGGCUCGCCUGGUUCCCUUUGGAUUAUUGUUUUACCCAUUGGAUUGCAAUAAAACGGAAUUCGCCCCCCA